rnacentral:misc_RNA from 1 species
GAAAUGUGAUAAGUAGUGUGAAUUGCAGAAUUCAGUGAAUCAUCGAAUCUUUGAACGCACAUUGCGCCCCUUGGUAUUCCAUGGGGCAUGCCUGUUCGAGCGUCAUUUGUACCCUCAAGCUCUGCUUGGUGUUGGGUGUUUGUCCCGUCUCCGCGCGUGGACUCGCCCCAAAGUGAUUGGCAGCCGGCGAACUGGUCCCGGAGCGCAGCACAUGUCGCGCAAACGAGUGCCUUGGUACGGCGGCGUCCAUAAGCCCCUCUCUCACGCUCUUGACCUCGGAUCAGGUAGGGAUACCCGCUGAACUUAAGC